rnacentral:rRNA from 1 species
CCUACGGGUGGCUGCAGUGGGGAAUAUUGCACAAUGGGGGAAACCCUGAUGCAGCAACGCCGCGUGAGGGAAGAAGGAUUUCGGUAUGUAAAGCUCUAUCAGCAGGGAAGAGAAUGACGGUAACUGACUAAGAAGCCGCAGCGAACUACGUGCCAGCAGCAGCGGUAAUACGGAGGGGGCGAGCGUUAUCCGGAUUCACUGGGGGUAAAGGGAGCGUAGACGGUUCUGGAAGUCUGAAGUGAAAGCCCGUGGCUUAACCGCGGCACGGCCUUUGAAACUGUGGAACUGGAGUGCUGGAGAGGCAAGCGGAAUUCCUAGUGUAGCGGUGAAAUGCGUAGAUAUUAGGAGGAACACUAGUGGCGAAGGCGGCUUGCUGGACAGUAACUGACGUUGAGGCUCGAAAGCGUGGGGAGCAAACAGGAUUAGAUACCCUAGUAGUC